CCUACGGGCGGCUGCAGUGAGGAAUAUUGGUCAAUGGGCGGGAGCCUGAACCAGCCAAGUCGCGUGAGGGACGACGGUCCUAUGGAUUGUAAACCUCUUUUGUCGGGGAACAAAGGCGCCCACGGGUGGGCGGAUGAGUGUACCCGAAGAAAAAGCAUCGGCUAACUCCGUGCCAGCAGCCGCGGUAAUACGGAGGAUGCGUGCGUUAUCCGGAUUUAUUGGGUUUAAUGGGUGCGCAGGCGGCGUGUAAAGUCAGCGGUAAAAUGUCGGGGCUCAACCCCGGACGGCCGUUGAAACUGGCGUGCUGGAGUAGGAGAGGAGUAGGCGGAAGUCGUGGUGUAGCGGUGAAAUGCAUAGAUAUCACGAAGAACCCCGAUUGCGAAGGCAGCAUACCGGCUCCACACUGACGCUGAGGCACGAAAGCGUGGGUAUCGAACAGGAUUAGAUACCCCUGUAGUC
rnacentral:rRNA from 1 species